rnacentral:lncRNA from 1 species
UUUUAUUUCUUCAUUUAAGUGAAGAUGACCCAAAAGCUGAUUCUAACGGGAAGGAAGUAAAGCCCUAUAAGACAAUACUCAUACCUGCUUGAGACAGAGUAAAGAAUGCUGAGACAAUUCAUCCUAACUCUCCCAAGAACAUAGGCGUCUCCUGAAGAUUAACUUGAGGAGAAGGGGGCAGAGAGAAUGCUGUAUUUGGAGUAGAGAAGGUUGCUUGGAAGUUGUUAAGGCAGAGGGACCAAAGGUGAGGCGUGAGCAGCUCAGGGACUCCACAGGCCAUCUCGUCUUCCCCAUUUCUCUAGUGGGUCACCCGAAAGCUGUCCUGAAAACUCCUGGAUAGGUUCGCCCAUCCUCUGUGACUGGAAAGGGGGAAAGAUAGAGGCACUGAGACUCCUUGGUAAGCCCCUUCCAUUGUGUGUUGUGGAUCAACUCCAUCGAGUAAAGGACAUCAAUUUUCUCUGGGCUUUCAACACAGAGAGUAUGUUGUGUAGACAAGGGGGAGGCCACAGGAGUUUAGGAGGAAAUGGGAGUCUGUAGACUUAUUUGCUUUGUUCCAGGAACAUGCUAUGUACAGGGACAAAAGUGCAGGCAGGAACAGUCUCUGUCGUCAGUGAACUCGAACCCUUUCUCCACUUUGAUCACCCCAGAUAUGCAGGAACUCCNNNNNNNNNNNNNACCGAUAAUAUUGUCAUGCACACUAUUUGGUUCCCUUUAUUCCUCCUGAAUUCAAUUAGUUAGAGACUGAGACUUAUGUAACUGCUUUGAUUCAGAAAGAAGUGUCCCCAAGCAGGAGAUAGAAGUGGGAUUUGAAAACUCCUUUGAAGAUCAUGAAACUGAUUUAUCUUGUUUUUGCUGGUGGUAAAAAUCCUGGAGUAUGACUGAGUUGCCCAGAAAUGAUGAGAUGACCCCUUAUUCUUAUUACAUCCCGGCAAUGACAUGUCCUUUAGUUUCUGCAAAGAGCAAACAGAGAUAUAGGGCCACUGAAGUCUCGGAUAGGGCCACUGCCACCAGCACGUCCUGCCUCCUCUCCUCCAAAUUCCUUUCCACACUGGAAAUGGGCUUCCUUUUCAGAUUGCAAAAUAAUAGGGUCUCCCUGCUUUUUUCUACCCAGAGCACCAUUUUCUGCCUCCCACAGCUUUCUUUGUUUGGAACUGUUCAUUCUUGGCAGUGAUAUUCUUAAGCCAGGGAAGAAUGAGGAAAUUUCACUGUCUUGGUGAAAUUACCUCAUUUAGGAAUAAUUGGUAUUCACAGAAGAGAUGCACAUUUUCAUCCACCUAGUAAUGAACAAAUUAACAAGACACCUACUGAGUUGUGUUAACAAAAUUACCAAAUGUAAAAGGAACUAAUUACUCUCCACUUCAUCCAGACAAACUCAAAACUGCAUUCAUAAUGGGUUUUGUGGCUGACUUGAUGUAGACUGCAGAGAAAGGAAAUAAACAGGUGCCUGGUGAUCAAAGACUCUGUCCUUGGUGAUAGUUUUGGAGGGGGUGCCUGCUUCUCAAGAAGGCCGACUGCUUCUGGAAGCCUUUCUUCCUUGCUGGUGCAGAUGCUUAUAACAUGCACGCUUUCUUUUCAGAGAUAACUGAUUGCUAUCCAUUAAACAGCAACCAAAGCAUGCAGAGAUGAAUUUCAGAAACAAGUCAUCUUUUGUGAAGCAAUGUAGGCAGCAGACUGCCUCUCUGAUUAUGGGGUCAGCUAGCCAAAUUCACAAGGGACUCCUGGCCCAGUGCCUGAAAGAAUUCAGGCUGGGGGGAAGAUUUCUGAUAAAAGUAGAGUUCCCCUACAUGUACUGGACUUUUGGUGUUUACUCAUACUGAAUACUUCUUUUUUGGAAGAUGUUUGGAAUAGGCUGGUGGCAGGGUUUCAGCCUAGACAAUUGUUUGGCCCUGCUUUCCUGAAUUAAAUCUAAUUGCAUGUGAUAAAUAUGUUUUCAUUAGAAUUUAUAGUAAGGCUCCAGAGGAAUUCAAAGUAAUUUUUUGGACUAUUUAGUUUCAACUAAAGAGCUCAGCAAUUAAAAUGGGAAAUACAAGAAAAAAUAGGUUAUUAUACAGGUUAAGAUGAGGUAGGACAUGAACAGGGUUUCUAGUCAUUGCACACACUCAUUCGUGCAUUCAUCCAUUCAACAAGUAUUAUUGAUUGGCUGAUAUGUGCCCAUAAAGUUCUAAAUGCUGGGGACAAGACAGGAAACAAGUGAAAAAAUGCUCUUCACUCAGCGUAAAUUCUGGAGAGUAAAGAGAUAUUUAAAAAAAUAGAAAAAGAAAAAAAAAACUUCUGAGAGUGAUAAUUAUUGGGUUUGUUCAGGUUCUAAACAAAGUUGUUGGCUACCCCAAUACUGCUACUGCUAAGUCACUUCAGUCGUGUCUGACUCUGUGUGACCCC